UUUUUACAGUUCAGACAGUGCUAGUUUCCGAAGAAACCCGCAUAAUUUUAAGAAUAGCACGUUUAAAAUGGAAAAGUGGUAAAUGAAGGAUAUAAUAUAUCUGUCCAUGCUGGAUAUUGAUGGUUUCAUUACGUAAAUCUUUCAGCAGAAGGGAGGCGUCACUGAUGGAGAGAGACAAAAAACUGAGCAGAGAGGAGAUGGAAAAGGAUCCAGUGGGUGUGACUGAUGGAACAGAUUCAGCCUGGAGCAUCAGAGAUCAGCUUUCUGAACGGAGAUCCAGAAACACACAGGACUCAGAGAUCAGCCUCAGUUUACUUUGUUACACUGACACUCAAGAGAGUGUGUGUGACAGUCAUGCAUCUACCGAUCAAAUCUCCACAGAGUCUUUGGGUUCAGACUGUAACGCUGAAGAAGAGCAGACACCACUUAAGAUGUGCUCAGUGAAGCUAGAGGACUGCAGGAACCUAACAGAGAUGAAAAGAGAAACCACAGCUGAUGAAGAACUAAGCGAUGAUGAUGAUGACGAUGUUUUUAUUCCCUCAGACUUAAAAGAGGAAAGUGAAAUUCUGAGUGAAGAGGAGGAGAUGCAUCAGCAUCAGAAACCUCAUAAUGUUUUAAGUGAAGAAACGUCUUUCGCAGGCUAUGAAUGUGGAACGAGUUUAGUGCAGGAAGGUCGAAAACUAUACAAAUGCCCUCAGUGUGGGAGGAGUUUUUCACAAAGAGAACAGCUUGAAAUGCAUAUGAAUGUUCACACCGGAGAGAAACCUUUCGCCUGCCAUGAGUGUGGAAAGAGUUUCACACGUCAAGGAAGCCUUAAUGUGCACAUGAGAGUCCAUACUGGAGAGAAGCCUUUCCUGUGCCCUCAAUGUGGAAAGAGUUUCAGUAUUAAACUAUAUCUUAAGAAUCACCUGAAAAUUCAUACUGGAGAGAAACCGUACACAUGCACUGAGUGUGGGAGGAUUUUCUCACAAAGAGGACACCUUGACACGCACAUGAGAUCUCACACCGGAGAGAAGCCUUAUACGUGCAAUGAGUGUGGAAAGAGUUUCACACGCCAAGGAAGACUUAAUAUUCACAUGAGAACUCACACUGGAGAGAAGCCGUUCACGUGUCCUCAGUGUGAGAAGAGUUUCAUUGGUAAACAUUACCUUAAGGAUCACCUAAAAGUUCACACUGGAGAGAAACCGUACACAUGCACUCAGUGUGGGAAGAGUUUUGCGCAUAAAGGAAUCCUUAAUGUGCACAUGAGAGUUCACACCGGAGAGAAACCGUACACCUGCCUUGAGUGUGGAAAGAGUUUCACACGGGCCGAGAGCGUCAAAGAUCAUCAUCUACGAAUUCACUCUGGAGAAAAGUCAAGCUGUGAUCAGUAAAACACAAUUUUGGGUUUAGGACUUGUCAGUAUCUGAUACAAGAAAGACAGUUUCAGAGAUGCUUUUAAAGUCACUUGCUCUACAUAUAUGCUAUGCCUUAUACUCAAAAACAAUGUGUUUUUCUUACUGUAAAGUGAGCUCAACAAAAACUCUUUGUGCACAGCACACAGACCCAACUAAUCAUUAAUGAAAUUCAUUGUUGUCUAAUUUAAUAAUAUAUAUAUAUAUUUUUUUGUAAUUGCAGCCAUAAUAAUAUUUUUUAUAUUUAAUCAUAACAGUUCUGCAGGGCCAUGGACUGUAGACUAUUUAAUUGUAUGUAUUUUGUGUAUUUAAUAUGAUGCUUAUUUAAUGUUUAUAGAUAUAAAAUGACAAAAUUCACACAAGUCAGGGUUUUAAACUGCAUUUAGAACUGUCCUAAAAUUGCAGUCAUUGUAUCUGUCCCCCACCGACAACGUUGUGAACGUUGAGAUCAUCAUGGACCUUGUAACUCUCCACCGUCUUGAAGAACAAAAGCUCAAAGCAGCGCACGGCUAGUCUGUUGUAUGAGGUGAUAGUCAUGUACUACACUGGAGUGCUAAAAGCCACCUUGAAAAAGUACUGGAUUCCUCUCAACCUCAAACCGCAAGACCAAGUCUAUUUGUUGGACUCUGCAGUAUAAGGAGUACAUGAACUAUCUGGUGGACCAGGGCACUCCCAAUCAGACCAAACAGAUUCUGGCCCCACAGUUCAACCUCAGCCUGCGUACACCAGACCUCAUCAUCACUGUACGUCAAUGAUCCACUAGUCUUUAUUUGGGACAUGUAAUCAUUUUUACAUUUCAUGAUGUUGACAUGACAUGAGUCCAGAUUAGUCACAUGGGUUUUAAAUCUAAUGUGAUUGGCUAGAAAUGUUUUAUAAUCUUGAUCAUGGAUCUUAGAUUCAAAGACUUGUUACUUUGAAUUUAGCAAGCACAUUUUUUUGACUUGGCAUGCAGAUUUAUUUUUGUCUUUUUCUUGUCUUUUAAAUAACAACAUAUGCAUAUUUAAUCUUUCAGAUCGAGUGCUUCAUGUUUGGUAGGCUAUGUAUAUUCAUUUAUUUGAAAUGACAGGUGAAAUGAUCAGUGGGUUUGAGUUUUUACCUUCAUCAUUAUAACAUGGGCUGAGGAAUGGAUAGAGUUGGUCAGUGAAAGAUAGACCAGUGAAAGAGUAGAUAUGAGAGCUGGACUCCACGUCAUAAAAAGAGACCAGACCCUCCUCAUAAUCCACAAACACACCAACCUUCUCAAGCUUCUCUCUCUGAGACAAAGAGACAGAGGGAUUUUCACAAGCUUUAUAUUGAUUCUCAUUCCUUAGAACCAAAGUCCAGCAUCCAUCCUCAGGACUCAGUCUGACCUUCCCCUUCUUAUUUAUGGAUUCUCUGGCCACUCCUAAAUCCCACUCGGCCUUGCCCUUCACCUGCACCUCAAAGUAAAAUUUCCCUGAAGAGAAACCCUCUUUUCCCAGAACAUCUAAACAUGAAUCAAAUCUAUUUGGAUAGUUAGGAAUGUUCUGCUUAAUGUUUCCAUGACGGACUUGUUUUCCAUCCUUAGACAAGAUGAGUUAAGGAUAAGCUGUAUCGGGAUCUAGAGUCACAUCCACUAAGAGAGAGAUAAGAGAAUAUGAACAAGCAUUCAG